rnacentral:rRNA from 1 species
AACGAACGCUGGCGGCAUGCCUAACACAUGCAAGUCGAACGAGACCUUCGGGUCUAGUGGCGCACGGGUGCGUAACGCGUGGGAACCUGCCCUUAGGUUCGGAAUAACUCCCCGAAAGGGGUGCUAAUACCGGAUAAUGUCUUCGGACCAAAGAUUUAUCGCCUUUGGAUGGGCCCGCGUUGGAUUAGCUAGUUGGUAGGGUAAAAGCCUACCAAGGCGACGAUCCAUAGCUGGUCUGAGAGGAUGAUCAGCCACACUGGGACUGAGACACGGCCCAGACUCCUACGGGAGGCAGCAGUGGGGAAUAUUGGACAAUGGGCGAAAGCCUGAUCCAGCAAUGCCGCGUGAGUGAUGAAGGCCUUAGGGUUGUAAAGCUCUUUUACCCGGGAUGAUAAUGACAGUACCGGGAGAAUAAGCGCCGGCUAACUCCGCG